CUAAUCCCAUCACCUGUGCAUCCCCACAGGUCCUCAUUUUGGGAGAGUAGUGUCUACAGGGUUCAAUACAAGAGGAGCUUAUGGGAGAGGAGCAUAGACCAAGAAAAACAAAAAGAGACAAACAUCAACACAAAGGUUAAAACAGAGCCAAGGACACCAGCUAAAAGGAUGAGAAACAUUCACUCAUCAAGUCUAUAUAUGUUCAAGAGUGUGAGCCCUCUAAACUUGAGCUUUUCCCGGGUGGCUGUCCCUUUAUCAAAUACGAGAUGCCAGACUUUCAGGAAAACGUGAUCUCUGAUCUCUUAAUAAGUACACUCCCCAGAUCUCUGAGCCACUGUUGGAAUAGAGGACUAGUCUCUGACUUCCACUGCAGAAGGAUAAUGUGAUUCAAUUAACAAAGCCGGAUUCACGACAGCCGCUCCAAAGAAAGCGAGUCGAGGAUCUGGAGUGAUUUUUAUGUUAAAAGCUUUGGACAGGUGGUCGAAUAUAAGAGACCAAAAAGUUUUAAUUUUGGGCAGGGAAAGCAAAUUUUAACAACAGAAUGUCUUCAGACAAUAUGUGGAAUCACAAGAAGACACACAUUUGGAAUUUUUAAAGGCUUUAUUGAAACACAAAAUCUAAUUUGUAAUGUUUACAUCACCCGGCAUAAUAACUAAUUAUGAGCAUUGAUUCUACAUUUUGAUUGGUUUACAACUUAACAUAAAUCAUUCACUUAUUGUUAUCAGCUGAAGCAUUUAAACUUCAUUUAAAAAUAUAUAUCACAAGAAAAAACAACAUAGUCCUGAUUACUAAUGAAAAACCUGAAAACACAAACAUUAUAAAUCUCUUGAGCCUCGUUUAAAUCAACACACUUCAUUACUUAUGCAGAAAUAAACAGUACUGAGGAGCUGGUGAAUGGAGGCUGUAGUCCUACAAGCGGGCGGACCAGGUUCAAAUCCGACCUGUGGCUCCUUUCCUGCACGUCAUUCCCCGCUCUCUCUCUCUCCCUGAUUUCAGACUCUAUCCUCUGUCCUAUCUCUACAGUAAAGGUACGAAAAGCACAAAAAUAAAUCUUUAAAAAAAGAAAUAAGUGAUACUAUUUACACAACUGGAAAACAAAAUGUAUCAUGUUUGUAUUGUGUGUGUGUGUGUGUGUGUUACAGUGUGUUUGUGUUGUGUGUGUGUGUGUGUGUGUCUUUAUUAACGUAUUUAUCACCAACAUUUGUUUUAGCACAAAGCUCUGAACACCAGAAGUAUAAAAAUCCAACUAUGAUGGAUUUUAGAUCAACACACAAAUCUUUCUUCAACACAUGAAGAGCGGCGUGAUGCCGUCAUAGAUUCAUCUUCUGAUUCUCUCCAGGUGACGAAAAAAUAAAUCACCAAGUUUUCAUUUAAAUGUAUUUAAGCGUCUUUUAUCAGCGGAAAAGCUUUUUAUAUUUGAAACUAACGUCACCAAACAACCCUGAUGUUGGAGAACAUUUGUAAAGCAUUUGUCAACUCUUUUUCAAACUUGUUUUCUUUGUAUUUCAAAGAUUUAAAUUUAAAUUCCCAACUCUGAUCACUUCAUGUCUGAUACGAUGAGAG